rnacentral:rRNA from 1 species
UACGUAGGGUGCGAGCGUUAAUCGGAAUUACUGGGCGUAAAGCGUGCGCAGGCGGUUCGUUGUGUCUGAUGUGAAAGCCCCGGGCUCAACCUGGGAAUGGCAUUGGAAACUGGCGAGCUAGAGUGUGGCAGAGGGGGGUGGAAUUCCGCGUGUAGCAGUGAAAUGCGUAGAGAUGCGGAGGAACACCGAUGGCGAAGGCAGCCCCCCUGGGCCUGCACUGACGCUCAUGCACGAAAGCGUGGGGAGCAAACAGG